CGGGACGGGUGAGUAACGCGUGGGCAACCUGGCCUGUACAGGGGGAUACCGGCUGGAAACAGCCGCUAAUACCGCAUAAGCGCACGGUGCCGCAUGGCAGAGUGCGAAAAGGAGAAAUCCGGCAAGCGAUGGAUCCGCGUCCGAUUAGCCAGUUGGCGGGGUAAGGGCCCACCAAAGCGACGAUCGGUAGCCGGCCUGAGAGGGCGGACGGCCACAUUGGGACUGAGACACGGCCCAGACUCCUACGGGAGGCAGCAG
rnacentral:rRNA from 1 species